rnacentral:rRNA from 1 species
UUGAACGCUGGCGGCAGGCCUAACACAUGCAAGUCGAACGGUAACAGGAAGAAGCUUGCUUCUUUGCUGACGAGUGGCGGACGGGUGAGUAAUGUCUGGGAAACUGCCUGAUGGAGGGGGAUAACUACUGGAAACGGUAGCUAAUACCGCAUAACGUCGCAAGACCAAAGAGGGGGACCUUCGGGCCUCUUGCCAUCGGAUGUGCCCAGAUGGGAUUAGCUAGUAGGUGGGGUAACGGCUCACCUAGGCGACGAUCCCUAGCUGGUCUGAGAGGAUGACCAGCCACACUGGAACUGAGACACGGUCCAGACUCCUACGGGAGGCAGCAGUGGGGAAUAUUGCACAAUGGGCGCAAGCCUGAUGCAGCCAUGCCGCGUGUAUGAAGAAGGCGUUCGGGUUGUAAAGUACUUUCAGCGGGGAGGAAGGGAGUAAAGUUAAUACCUUUGCUCAUUGACGUUACCCGCAGAAGAAGCACCGGCUAACUCCGUG